GCAGAAUUGUAGCUUAGGACUGGACUCUCCUUUUGUUUUCUUAGAGUGUAUGUACAUUGACAGGGAAGAAUGCAAUCUGGUUCGCAUUUUCAGAGAUGUUGCGAACGUUCUUUUAACUUUUAUCCAGCUCUUCGCCCACAGUGGGCGUAAGACUUCGGGGGGAAGCCGCCGGUUUGCCACUGCGAUAAGCGGAUGUUUUCUUGCGACGAUCACGCCUUGUCUCUCCUCCAUGUUCAUGGUGCUGCCGUCAGGAAGGGCCCA